CCUCCCCCCAUUGGUGUUUACCGCCCCCACUCUCCCCGGUUUAAGCGGCGCCUACGGGCCCCCAGAACUAAGGGGGGGUACCCCUGAACUCAACCCUCUGCGUCUCCUCUCCAGGGUCUCCUCCGCGACUCUCCCCUGCCCAACCCUCGGGGUCAGGACUCGUCAAGAUUCCGUCCCUCUCUCCCCUCCCCCCUUCCCUGGCUCCCCCUCGGCCCCCUCCCCUCAGCGGGUCCUCCUUUUUCUCUCCCUCUCCCUCCUCCUCCCCCACCCCAUCCCUUCCCCCCCACAAUGCAGUUCGCGGCGCGGCGGACAUGGCGGUGGAGUCCUGAGCUCGUCGUGUCCUGGCCUCCAGCGGCGGCGGCAGUGACGGCGGCGGCGGCAGCGGGAGGCGGCGGGGGGAGCGGGAGCCACUGAGAUGAGGAGGCGCCGCGCGCGCCUGUAGCUCGCGGGCCUCUCAGAGAAUGUCAAUCUGGACAGAGAUCAAGGCAGAGGAUACAUACUGCUUUACUACAAUAGGAAUUAUAAAACUUAGGUGCACGUUGAGUAAGAUGUUGUGGUGGAGACAUAGCUAGUUUGUUUGCCUAAUCUGGACUUGAAGCAAUUCAACUACUAGAAAUCUGCCAUUUUACAAUAUCACAAUUGGGAAGAAGCAGGUUUUCAAAUAAUGGAAGAGUCUAAGACCUCUAAAAAUGAAAAUCAUGAACCAAAGAAGAAUGCUUGGGCUCUUUCUGAAGAAAGCAAAGCAGUUAAAGUUAUAUCUAAUCAAACUUUGAAAGCUAGAAAUGAUAAAUCCAUAAAAGAAAUUGGGACCAGCUCUCCAAGUAGGAAUAGUAGUAAAAAAAAUAAGCAAAAUGAUAUUUGUAUAGAAAAGACAGAAGUUAAAUCAUGUAAAGUAAAUGCUGCCAAUGUAGCAAGUCCUAAAGAUUUGGGAUUAGUCCUUCGAGAUCAAAGUCAUUGCAAAACAAAAAAAUCACCUAAUUCACCGGUAAAAGCAGAGAAGGUACCUGUUUCACAGGCAAAAGCAGAAAAGUCACCAAAGUCAUCUAAUUCACCAGUGAAAACAGAAAAGACAUCCAGCUCCCAGGCAAUAGCAGCAGAAAAGGCACUUAGUUCACAGAGGAAAACAGAAAAAGUACCCAUUGCUCAGAUGAAAUCAGAAAAGGUCCCUGGUUCGCUAACAGAACCAGAGAAGGCACCCAGUUUACCAUUAAAAGAAAACAUGCGACAGAUAGAAUUACAGCAGAUUGGAAGAAAAAUUCCAAGUUCCUUUACUUCUCUGGACAAAGUGAAUAUUGAUGUUGUAGAGGGAGAAAAAUCUGCUUUGGAAAACUCACCACGAUCUCAGAAGCAACAAGCAUGUACAGAUAAUACUGGUGAUUCCGAUGAUAGUGCUUCGGGAAUUGAAGACAUAUCAGAUGAUUUGAGUAAAAUGAAGAAUGAUGAAUCUAUUAAAGAAAAUUCUUCAGAGAUGGACUAUUUAGAAAAUGCUACUGUGAUAGAUGAAUCUGCAUUGACACCUGAGCAGAGGCUAGGCUUGAAACAAGCAGAAGAACGCUUAGAAAGAGAUCACAUCUUUCGACUUGAAAAACGCUCACCAGAAUAUACCAAUUGCCGAUAUCUAUGCAAACUUUGCUUAAUUCACAUUGAAAACAUCCAGGGAGCUCAUAAACAUAUAAAGGAGAAACGACAUAAGAAAAAUAUUUUGGAAAAACAGGAAGAAAGUGAGCUUCGUUCUCUGCCACCUCCUUCCCCUGCCCACUUGGCUGCUUUAAGUGUUGCAGUUAUUGAAUUAGCAAAAGAACACGGAAUAACAGAUGAUGACCUCAGAGUCCGUCAGGAAAUUGUGGAGGAAAUGUCAAAGGUUAUAACAACAUUUUUACCAGAGUGUUCACUUAGGUUGUAUGGCUCAUCUCUGACUAAGUUUGCUCUGAAAAGUAGUGAUGUUAAUAUAGAUAUAAAAUUUCCUCCCAGGAUGAAUCAUCCAGAUCUUCUGAUACAAGUGCUUGGGAUUUUAAAAAAAAGUGUAUUAUAUAUAGAUGUGGAAUCUGAUUUUCAUGCCAAAGUUCCUGUUGUGGUGUGCAAAGAUCGGAAAAGUGGUUUACUUUGUAGAGUGAGUGCAGGAAAUGAUAUGGCAUGCCUCACUACUGAUUUACUUGCUGCUCUUGGCAAGACGGAACCUGUUUUUACUCCUUUGGUGUUAGCCUUUCGCUACUGGGCUAAGUUAUGCUAUAUUGACUCCCAAACUGAUGGCGGAAUCCCUUCUUACUGUUUUGCUUUAAUGGUGAUGUUUUUUCUACAACAAAGAAAACCCCCUCUUCUUCCUUGCUUACUUGGAAGUUGGAUUGAAGGCUUUGACCCAAAAAGAAUGGAUGACUUUCAGCUGAAGGGCAUAGUAGAAGAGAAGUUUGUGAAGUGGGAAUAUAAUUCAAGUAGUGCAACUGAGAAAAACUCAAUUGCUGAGGAAAACAAAGCUAAGGCAGACCAACCAAAAGAUGAUACCAAGAAGACAGAAACAGACAACCAAAGUAAUGCCAUGAAGGAAAAACAUGGCAAAUCUCCUUUAACAUUGGGAACACCAAAUCAGGUAUCCCUGGGACAAUUAUGGUUAGAGCUGCUAAAAUUUUACACACUGGAUUUUGCUUUGGAAGAAUAUGUCAUAUGUGUACGGAUACAAGAUAUUUUAACAAGAGAAAACAAAAACUGGCCUAAAAGGCGAAUAGCCAUUGAAGAUCCAUUUUCAGUUAAGAGGAAUGUUGCACGGAGCUUAAACAGCCAGCUUGUUUAUGAAUACGUUGUGGAGAGAUUCAGGGCAGCUUAUCGGUAUUUUGCCUGUCCUCAGAGGAAGGGUGGAAAUAAAUCUACAGUGGAUUCCAUGAAAAAAGAGAAGGGAAAAAUAAGCAAUAAGAAACCAGUGAAGUCUGACAAUAUGGCAUCCAGUUGUUGCAUUCUACAUGGAGAAAGCACAGAAAAAAUAAAUGCAGAAAGAGGUCAACCUGAUAAAUAUGAUGAAAUGGAAUGUACAUCACAGAGAUGUAUUACUGAAGAUGACAGUUUGUUGGUAAAUGAGCUAGAUUUGGCUGAACUUGGACAGGAAUCUUCAUCUCUUUCUACCAGUGGAGGCAGUGAAUUAGAGCCAAAAUCAAUUAAGAAACAAGAUGAUUUAGCACCGUCAGAAACCUGUCUAAAAAAGGAACUCAGCCAGUGUAAUUGCAUUGGUUAUAAAUCCCCUGACCCAGAUGAAUCUUCUGGUACAGACUGCCAGUCAAAUAUAGAAACAGAGAGUUCACAUCAGAUUGUGAGCACUGACACAUCUGCUACCUCCUGCAACUGCAAAGCUACAGAAGAUGCUUCUGACUUUAAUGAUGAUGAUAACCACCCCACCCAGGAAUUAUAUUAUGUGUUUGAUAAGUUUAUUUUAACCUCUGGCAAGCCACCAACGAUAGUAUGCAGCAUCUGCAAAAAAGAUGGCCAUUCAAAAAAUGAUUGUCCAGAGGAUUUCAGGAAAAUUGAUCUAAAACCUCUACCACCAAUGACAAAUCGAUUUCGGGAAAUACUUGAUUUAGUAUGUAAAAGAUGUUUUGAUGAGUUAUCACCACCCUUUUCUGAACAACACAACAGGGAGCAAAUUUUAAUUGGCUUGGAAAAGUUUAUUCAAAAAGAAUAUGAUGAAAAGGCCAGAUUGUGCUUAUUUGGCUCUUCUAAGAAUGGAUUUGGAUUUCGUGAUAGUGAUCUGGAUAUUUGUAUGACCCUGGAAGGCCAUGAAAAUGCAGAGAAAUUAAACUGUAAGGAAAUAAUUGAAAAUUUGGCAAAAAUUCUUAAGAGACAUCCAGGUUUAAGAAACAUUUUGCCUAUAACUACUGCCAAAGUGCCUAUAGUAAAAUUUGAACAUAGACGAAGUGGUUUAGAAGGCGAUAUCAGUUUAUAUAAUACAUUGGCUCAACAUAACACAAGAAUGCUAGCUACUUAUGCAGCUAUUGAUCCUAGAGUACAAUACUUGGGAUAUACUAUGAAAGUGUUUGCAAAGCGAUGUGACAUUGGAGAUGCUUCCAGGGGAAGUUUAUCUUCAUAUGCUUAUAUCCUUAUGGUGCUGUACUUUCUGCAGCAGAGAAAACCACCUGUUAUCCCAGUUCUACAAGAGAUCUUUGAUGGAAAACAGAUUCCACAGCGAAUGGUUGAUGGAUGGAAUGCAUUUUUCUUUGAUAAAACAGAAGAGCUGAAAAAGCGUUUACCUUCACUUGGAAAGAAUACAGAAACGUUAGGAGAGCUUUGGUUGGGACUGCUUCGCUUCUAUACUGAAGAGUUUGAUUUCAAGGAAUAUGUAAUUAGCAUUCGGCAGAAAAAGCUGUUGACAACUUUUGAGAAGCAGUGGACAUCCAAAUGCAUUGCAAUUGAAGAUCCUUUUGACUUGAAUCAUAACCUUGGUGCUGGAGUUUCUAGGAAAAUGACCAAUUUUAUCAUGAAGGCAUUUAUCAAUGGAAGGAAACUUUUUGGUACCCCCUUUUAUCCACUCAUUGGCAGAGAAGCUGAGUACUUCUUUGAUUCCAGAGUAUUAACAGAUGGAGAACUGGCUCCCAAUGAUCGAUGCUGUCGUGUGUGUGGAAAAAUAGGCCACUACAUGAAAGACUGCCCUAAAAGGAGAAGCAGUUUACUGUUUAGACUAAAGAAGAAAGACAGUGAAGAAGAGAAGGAUGGGAAUGAAGAGGAGAAAGACUCCCGAGACCUUCUUGAUCCCCGAGACCUCCAUGACACUCGAGAGUUUAGAGACCCCAGAGACCUCAGAUGCUUCAUAUGUGGAGAUGCUGGACAUGUACGAAGGGAGUGCCCAGAGGUCAAGCUGGCCCGUCAGAGGAAUAGCAGUGUGGCUGCAGCCCAGUUGGUCCGCAACCUCGUAAAUGCCCAGCAAGUGGCUGGUUCAGCCCAGCAACAGGGUGAUCAGUCCGUAAGGACUAGACAGUCCUCAGAAUGUUCUGAUUCACCAUCUUAUUCUCCUCAGCCCCAACCAUUUCCACAGAACUCAUCCCAGUCAGCUGCCAUUACCCAGUCUCCAUCCCAGCCAGGAUCCCAACCCAAGCUUGGCCCACCUCAGCAGGGAGCCCAGCCCCCACAUCAGGUCCAGAUGCCUAUGUAUAACUUUCCCCAGUCACCACCAGCUCAGUAUUCUCCCAUGCACAAUAUGGGACUGUUGCCAAUGCACCCUCUCCAGAUCCCUGCCCCGUCCUGGCCUAUUCACGGCCCAGUGAUCCACUCUGCACCAGGCAGUGCCCCCAGCAAUAUUGGCCUGAACGAUCCCAGCAUCAUCUUUGCACAGCCUGCUGCCAGACCUGUGGCGAUCCCUAACUCCUCUCAUGAUGGACACUGGCCUCGUACUGUGGCUCCAAAUUCCCUGGUGAACAAUGGUACAGUGGGAAAUUCGGAGCCAGGCUUUCCAGGACUAAAUCCUCCAAUUCCUUGGGAACAUGCACCACGUCCCCAUUUCCCUCUUGUCCCAGCUUCGUGGCCUUAUGGUUUGCAUCAAAACUUCAUGCAUCAGGGAAAUGCCAGAUUUCAGCCCAACAAACCGUUCUAUACUCAAGACAGAUGUGCCACCCGUCGGUGUAGAGAGCGUUGUCCCCACCCACCAAGAGGAAACGUGUCGGAGUAAUGCGAGUCCAUUUUCUUUCAGCUGGUCUACCGAUGCACAGCAACCAGCCAAUCCUGCUGUCUCAAGGGUAUCCGUACCUCAAUGUCAGUUACAUUCAGCAGAAAAAGUGACAUUUAAUGGAAAGCAAAACAAAUCAGAUAUGCAUUACUUAAAUAGGAGACUCUGGGCUUUUGCCAUAUUUUCCAACUUGGAAGAUGCUUGAAAUCUAUUGCAGGAGGUUGAGGGCUUUCCUGCCAUAUUUACAGCCCUGAAAAGGUCAUUAAGCCAGAAGACAUUUCUUUCCAUCCGGAUCACUUUGGUAAAGAACUAACUUCUAGGACUCUGUAACAGAUAUCAAUAGAGGUGCUUAUAUUUAAUUCUUAAAGGCAGUCUUAUAUAUAGUUGUAUGAUGAAUAACAUUAACAUUAGCUCUUAUGGAUGACUUUUAUCAGCUCAAGUAUUACCAGGUGAGGAAUCGUUGAAGAAUGUAAAAUCUCAAAUCUCCCAAAAUGCUUUAACAUUGCUGCAAAAGUCCUUCAGUUCAACAGCAAGCAAAAGAAUGUUAAUCCUGUGACCAGAUCUGGCUUCCCAAGAAACUAGAUCGUAUGAGGCAAUUGGUCUUCAGAAUUCUUGGUAGGUCCAGAGCUGUGGGAAUUCCAAUCACUUCCCCCCACCCCUCUUUUUUUCCACUGUUUCCUUUUUAAAGGAAAAAAGUUAAGUACUAGUAGAAUGAACUCUUCUAGCAAAGAUUUCAACACCUUCUUGAUUAUCAAUGCCCACGGACACUUUGCAGUUCUUAUUUUGCUUCUAAGUCCUCAAACCCUUAGCUUCUUUGAUAUACUGUCUCCUAAUUCUUCUACCUUUCUGAAAGUUCAUUUCCAUUUUCAGGUGGUUGACUGCAUUGCUUUCUCUCACCAGUGUUGAGUGUUGCCUACGCUUCUGUUGUUGGCUUUUCUUACAUAAACACACUUCCUGGGCAGCCCCCAUUUAAUUCUACAUCUUCCACAAUUACCUAAAUGUUGUCAAUUCAGGGUUAGAUCACUAUGCUCAACUCCAAUUCCUACUUCUAACAACCUGGGCUUUAUCUAGAUAUACCGUAGCAGUCUCUAUACUUUAAGUAAAAUUGAAUGCAUCAUUUUUACUACCAAAACAACUUUCACCACCUGCCCCCUCUAAAGCUUGGCCUCUUCCUGCUGUACUUUCUAGCUUUGUGAAUAAAUGGCACUAUUUGCCAGCAAAUGAAGUCAAAACCGUGAAUGGUAUUAGAUACUUAACUCUCCUUUUCAAUCUUAUAGGCCCACUGCUACCGACUAAACUUGGAAAAUAAUGACAGUCUUUUCAAGGUAAAGGCUGAGCACCAUAACCUAGAAUUCAAGGCUUAUGGGGAAGAAAAAACAUUAUAUAAGAAUGUUGUGUAAAAGGUGUCAAGUUCCAUUGUUGAACUGUUCAAUGCAACUGGAUUAAAUGAUCCAGAAGAAGUCUUAACAUUUGAAUACAUUCUGUUCUUACAAAGCUGCUGCUAACUCAUCAGUUUUCAUGUUUAUUAUGUAGUGCUGCUGAAAAAAAGUCUGGGAGAGAAUAGGUUUUACUGACUUGAGUUUUGAGUGUAACAGCAGCAGCACAAAUCUCAGGAUUCUCAGAACAGUUCUAAUCACGGAGCAAACCAAAACUAAACUACAGAAAUACAGAAAGUGGAUGUGUAAAAUUUAAUAAUAAAAGGGUCACCAUGCAGCCACAUCCUCUCCUUGUCAUUCAUCCUCUCCACCCCUCAAAUCCCUUACAAAGUUGAGUACAGUCAAGGUUGGUUGUACAGAGGGGUCGAAAGCAGCCCUUGGGAAGUGCUAUCCCUCAAAUGUGGAUUAUGAUUCAAAGAGCGAUACAAAACUCAGCACCUCUUUCAUUAAAAAAAAAAAAAAAAAGUGGAGAAACUUGGUUAAAAA